CACAAUCUGGAGUGGGUACAUCAAUAGGCUUCGAGUGGCAGAGGCAAUUUUUGUUGCUCGCGAGGUCACAGUCCAUUGGAGGUGACCUGAAAACUACAACGGCCUUAUUAUGGCAGGCAGCCCACGACAUCCAGUACUUCAGGAUCAGAUGUAUCGGAAAGUGUGCUGCCGGCCGCAAGUGGCGGUAUGACAAGUGAGGAAUGGCUGGCUGCCAAUAGGACAGUGUCGUCUGAUAUCAGGUGAAUUUGAAGUCAUAGGCGUAGCAGCAGCUGCAGGCCUCGGCAAUGCCUGAAUUGAAAUGUGUCCGACAGCUGCGGAUGUGAAACAAGCCGCAGAUGGCGCUGUGGCUGGUAAUGUUGUAUCGGCCUCCGCCAGGCCUCGAUCAUCGAUGAUUAUAUUUUAGGAGUCGCAGAUGUUUGCGCCAACAGAUGGCCGGGUAUUGAGAAGCUGUCGCUGUAGUCAGGAGCCGUUGGUGCGUAUACAGCCGCACGUGGCAUAGUGGCUGGUAAUGUUUGUCUGGCCACCGCCAGGCCAGGAUAGUCAGCUUCAGUGCGUGGCAAUGUAACUGGUGGAGACUGAUUGGUUGCUACAGAUGAACUCGAAGUCGCCGGCGAUACUGCCUGGAUGAUACUGUUCCUAAUAGCAGUGGCUGUGGAACUAUCCGCAGGUGGCGUUGAGGCUGCUAAAGCUUGAUCGGUGAUUAUAUGUAUAAGGAGCCGCAGACAAUUGUGUUACCACCGGGCCGGGUGCUGUGGAGCUGCCGUUGUGACCAGGAGCAUUUGGCGCGCUUACAGCCGCGUGUGGCAGAAUGGGUGGCAUUGAUUGUCUGGCAGCCGCCAGGCCAGGACAGUCGGCUACAAUGUGUGGCAAUGUGACCGGUGGAAACUGAUUUGCUGCCAAUGGGACAUUAUCAUCAGAGGCCAUACGUACUCGGAGUCGCCGGCAUUGCAGUUGCCACGUGUCUCGGCAAUGCCUGAGUGAUGCCGUACCUGAUAGCAGCGGUUGUGGAACUAGCCGCAGGUGGCGCUAUGGCUGGUAAAGCUUGAUCGCGGAUUAUGUGAUGUGUUAGGAGUCGCGGACGUUUGCGCUACAACAGGGCCAGUUGUUGAGAAGCUGCCGUUGAGCUCAGGAGCGUUUGGUGCGCGUGCAGCCGCACGUGGCAAAAUGGCUGGCAAUGAUUGUCUGGCCACAGCCAGGCCUGGACGGUCAACUACCGUGUAUGGCAGUGUUACUGGUGGAGACUGAUUGGAUAUUAUUGACGAACUCGAUGUCGCCGGCGUUGCAGCUGCCACGGGUCUCGGCAAUGCCUGAAAGAUACUAAUAGCAGCAGCUGUGGAACUGGCCGCAGAAGGCGUGGUGGCAGGUAAAGCUUGCUCGGCUUCCGUCUGGCCGCGACCUUCAGUGACUAAAUGUAUAAGGAUCCGCAGACGAUUGUGUUACCACAGGGCCAGGUGGUGUGAGGCUGCCGUUGUGCUCAGGAGCAAUUGGCGCGCAAACAGCUGCACGCGGCAAAUUGGCUGGUAUUGAUUGUCUGGCCAGAGCCAGGUCAGGACAGUCAGCAGCAAUGUGUGGCAAUGCGACCCGUGGAAAAUGGUUUGCUGCCAGUAUGACAAUGUCAUCGGAGGCCAUCGCCACAGGGCUGGCUCUUACUGGCAAAAACUUAUACUAUGGAUAUGCG